rnacentral:rRNA from 1 species
AGUGAACGCUGGCGGUAGGCCUAACACAUGCGAGUCGAACGGCAGCACAGUAAGAGCUUGCUCUUACGGGUGGCGAGUGGCGGACGGGUGAGGAAUACAUCGGAAUCUACUUUUUCGUGGGGGAUAACGUAGGGAAACUUACGCUAAUACCGCAUACGACCUACGGGCGAAAGCAGGGGAUCUUCGGACCUUGCGCGAUUGAAUGAGCCGAUGUCGGAUUAGCUAGUUGGCGGGGUAAAGGCCCACCAAGGCGACGAUCCGUAGCUGGUCUGAGAGGAUGAUCAGCCACACUGGAACUGAGACACGGUCCAGACUCCUACGGGAGGCAGCAGUGGGGAAUAUUGGACAAUGGGCGCAAGCCUGAUCCAGCCAUGCCGCGUGGGUGAAGAAGGCCUUCGGGUUGUAAAGCCCUUUUGUUGGGAAAGAAAAGCAGCAGGUUAAUACCCCGCUGUUCUGACGGUACCCAAAGAAUAAGCACCGGCUAACUUCGUG